rnacentral:lncRNA from 1 species
AUGUUCUAUCCCCUUCUCAGACCUCAUCUGAGUAUUGUGCUCACUUCUGAGCACCACAGUUUAAGAGGACCAUUGAUAAUCUGGACAGGUUCCAGUGGAGAGCAAUGAGGAUGGUUCUGACCAUGCCAUGUGAGGAUCCAUUGAAGGAGCUGAGCAUGGUUGGAGAGAAAAAAAAGCUGGAGAGAAGAUGCAGAGGGGACAUCCCCAUGCAGGCUCCAACCUUGACCCUUUGGACUUUCUUUACUAUGCCACAGAAGCCUUCUCACCCUUCCUUCCUUCCUUCCUUCCUUCCUUCCUUCCUUCCUUCCUUCCUUCCUUCCUUUCUUCCUUCCUUCCUUCCUUCCUUCCUUCCUUCCUUCCUUCCUUCCUUCCUUCCUUCCUUCCUUCCUUUUUCUUUCUUUCUUUCUUUCUUUCUUUCUUUCUUUCUUUCUUUCUUUCUUCCUUCCUUUCUUUCUUUCUUUCUUUCUUCCUUCCUUUCUUCCUCCCUUCCUUCCUUCCUUCCUUCCUUACUUCCUUCCUUCCUUCUUUCCCUCCUUCUUUCCUUCUCACUUUAUCCUCACAACAACCUUAAGAGGUCUUUGGGCCAGUGUUAUCAUCCCAUUUUAUAGACAACUAAAAUGAAGUUCUGAGAGAUUUGUUGCUUAAGCCAUGGCUACACAGCUAGGAAGAGAAAUGGCUAGGAAUCUAGAGUCAAUCUUGGGAUUCUUAAUCUAGAGCUCUUUUCAUUACAUUCUGGGAUGUAGCAAGAGGAGGAGAAAGAAGGGAGAACAGAGAGAGGAGAUGUUGCCAGGCAGCCAGCCCAAGUCCCACCAAGUUGCCUUGGUGAUGCUGAAAGCUGGGAGGGAGAGCAGGGAUUUACCUGGAAAUGGAAUAUAUGAAUGUUGAAUCACAGGAUUGUAGAUUAUCAUAACAAUAGCUUAAUAUUCCAAUCAUGGAUUUCAAGUUUGAAAAGCAUUUAAAUACAUGAUUUCAUCUGAUCCUUUCAAUAGCAUAUUGGGGGCAGGUGUAAUCAUUAUCCCCAUUUUACAGAUUAAGAAAUUGAGGCUCAGAGAAGUUAAUUGAUUUGCAGCU